rnacentral:rRNA from 1 species
UACGGGGGGGGCUAGCGUUGUUCGGAAUUACUGGGCGUAAAGGGCGCGUAGGCGGCCUACUAAGUCGGACGUGAAAUCCCUCGGCUCAACCGGGGAACUGCGUCCGAUACUGGUGGGCUCGAAUCCGGGAGAGGGAUGUGGAAUUCCAGGUGUAGCGGUGAAAUGCGUAGAUAUCUGGAGGAACACCGGUGGCGAAGGCGACAUCCUGGACCGGUAUUGACGCUGAGGCGCGAAAGCCAGGGGAGCAAACGGG